UGCAAUUGCAUUACUGUCUUCCAAAGGUCAUGGGCAAAUGAUGCAAUUGCAUUACUGUCUUCCAAAGGUCAUGGGCAAAUGAUGCAAUUGCAUUACUGUCUUCCAAAGGUCAUGGGCAAAUGAUGCAAUUGCAUUACUGUCUUCCAAAGGUCAUGGGCAAAUGAUGCAAUUGCAUUACUGUCUUCCAAAGGUCAUGGGCAAAUGAUGCAAUUGCAUUACUGUCUUCCAAAGGUCAUGGGCAAAUGAUGCAAUUGCAUUACUGUCUUCCAAAGGUCAUGGGCAAAUGAUGCAAUUGCAUUACUGUCUUCCAAAGGUCAUGGGCAAAUGAUGCAAUUGCAUUACUGUCUUCCAAAGGUCAUGGGCAAAUGAUGCAAUUGCAUUACUGUCUUCCAAAGGUCAUGGGCAAAUGAUGCAAUUGCAUUACUGUCUUCCAAAGGUCAUGGGCAAAUGAUGCAAUUGCAUUACUGUCUUCCAAAGGUCAUGGGCAAAUGAUGCAAUUGCAUUACUGUCUUCCAAAGGUCAUGGGCAAAUGAUGCAAUUGCAUUACUGUCUUCCAAAGGUCAUGGGCAAAUGAUGCAAUUGCAUUACUGUCUUCCAAAGGUCAUGGGCAAAUGAUGCAAUUGCAUUACUGUCUUCCAAAGGUCAUGGGCAAAUGAUGCAAUUGCAUUACUGUCUUCCAAAGGUCAUGGGCAAAUGAUGCAAUUACAUUACUGUCUUCCAAAGGUCAUGGGCAAAUGAUGCAAUUGCAUUACUGUCUUCCAAAGGUCAUGGGCAAAUGAUGCAAUUGCAUUACUGUCUUCCAAAGGUCAUGGGCAAAUGAUGCAAUUGCAUUACUGUCUUCCAAAGGUCAUAGGCAAAUGAUGCAAUUGCAUUACUGUCUUCCAAAGGUCAUGGGCAAAUGAAUCAAUUGCAUUACUGUCUUCCAAAGGUCAUGGGCAAAUGAUGCAAUUGCAUUACUGUCUUCCAAAGGUCAUGGGCAAAUGAUGCAAUUGCAUUACUGUCUUCCAAAGGUCAUGGGCAAAUGAUGCAAUUAUAUUACUGUCUUCCAAAGGUCAUGGGCAAAUGAU